rnacentral:misc_RNA from 1 species
CGCGGGAGGAGAUGAGUCGUUCCUUCUUAUUUCUCCGCACUACAAUUCAAGGGUUUUCGAAGAGUCGAAAUUCAAGAAGCGUGGACUGGAGUGGACACGACACGACUGUGGCUGUUGUGCUUUGGGUAAGCGAAGAGUGGGGAUGACGCGAAAGAAGAGGAGGGGAGAGCUGUCAUAAUUUAGUGCUACCACGAUAUGCGGCGAGUAUGAAAAAAAAGAUUCUCUCAUUUUCCUUGGGAGUGCAAAGCUCAAGGGCCAAGAAAGAGAAAAAAGUGCCGAUGAGGCUCGCUAAACGAUCCGUGGAUGUAUCAAACAAACGAGAAAAAAGUUUGUUGUCGUGUUUUAAUGUGUACCUAAACGGAGGCCAGCGCCAUAGUGACGUGCGGUGGGAAACCGAAGGAAUCAUUGUGAAUAUAGGUUGGUGAGUGAGUGAGAGAGAGAGAGAGAGAGAGAGAGAGAGAAAGAGAAAAGAGGAGGAAACUUCUCUUCGUGCAGUGCAAAAGCGAGUCGAUAGAUUGCGGAACGAGCGAACUCGAAUUUUUCGCUCGUAAACCAACACAAGAUAUAGUGCGUGUGUGCGUAUUUUUUUCUUAUUCUAACCUCCUAUAGCCCUCUUGUCCCCUUCCCGCACGCCGCUCUCCUCGUGACUUUUCAUGCUGAAAGUUGAAAAUCAGUGUUUCGCGUGCGUCCGCCGAUGGGCGAACGAUGGAUUUUAAAUGAUAAAUAAACGUUCGCGUAGUUGGUCGCUCUUGCGCGCCUCUCGAGUGUUCCGUGAACAGGAUUUGUUUUUUUUUAACGCCUGAAUCCUUGCGUCGUAACGAAUCUUAACGUACGCGUAAAAAAAUCGUUAUAAAAGUGCGGUGGACCGAUGUUGUAACUACGAUAGGGGCCAAAAUGGAAGAGCAAAGCGUUCACAGCAGUAUCAGCGAUAUAAAUAGUGAGGAGACGGUCAAGACAGAGCCAGCCAGGAUACCUCGGAAAAAACGGAUAUGCUUGGUCGGUCCAACCUGUGAUGAUGCAGCCCUCGGUGCCGCUGCUCAACAGUUCAGCGUUCCCGUUCUCAAGUCCAAUUGCGGCUCCGAAUACAUCGAGGACACCACGUACUGCACAUAUUUUAUACUUAAUCAGUUCGAGGGACCGGAGUACGAUGCGCUUCACAAAAGUGCCCACAGAAUAUUGGGACCAACGGCGUUGCUGCAGUUGGCGGAGAAAAAAGAGUCCUUGCCGAGUAUUUCACGUCCGCUGUACACUCAAGCCAUGCUCGGAACAGUGGUCGUGUUUACCGGCUUUAGGAAAAAGGAUGAAUUGACGAAACUCAUCAAUAUGAUCCACAGUAUGGGCGGUAGCAUUAGGAAGGAAAUGGGCGUGAAAGUUACACAUCUAAUUGCGAAUUGUUGCGGCGGGGAAAAGUACAAGUACGCCGUCACAUUUCGGGUUCCUAUUAUGUCCAUGAAUUGGGUCACUGCCUUGUGGGACAGAAAAUACGACACAAAGAGUUUUGGGAACAAUGAGGAACUGGUCGCAAAUUUUAAGCUCAAGCCUUUCGUCGGUGCCAAAGUCUGCUUCUUCGGUUUUCCUGAGGAUGAGAAGAAACACAUGUGCGAAGUUUUGCAGCAACAGGGCGGUGAACCUACUGAAAUUGACGACCCGAAUUGCACGCACGUGGUUACGGAUAUGGGAAAUCGACGAUGCAGGAUUGCCGACACGCAAACAAACAAAUUUUCAUAUUUCAAGCGCACAUCGGGCGAAUCAAGACUGGCUACUUUUAAUUUUCUUCGUAAGGAGCCAUUUUCCUUUACUUUUUACAAUCCAUACACAAACACAAUACCACGUUCGUUAAACACGUGGGAUUCUUUGAGUGGCUUGAGCAAUACAAUGAUUCGUCGAAAACGUGGUGAGAGAUCGAUCUCCAUGUAUGAAAUGCCGUCUUGGUCGGGUGGUUGCAUCAUGAACAAGGAUAAUUCAAGAGGGAAUUUGAUGGCAAAUAAUUUGAGCGAGGAUUCAGCAAUAAUGAUAGAUUGGAAUAGUUCCGGAGGUGGAACAUUGCCGGAAAAUUUGGAAACUAUGUCGGGAAAUUCGACGAGAAACGAGAGCGAAAUGGAUUCAGGAAUUGACAGUUCCAUGUCGACGGCUAUGUCUUGCGAGAUGUUCAACAGCAGCGAAAAAAUUUUAGCACGAUCGGGAACGAUUGCAAGAAAGCAAAACAACAGUGAAUUCAUUCAGGACGAGGAGAGUCGAGAAAUGGAAAUGGACAUUGACGCAUUUGUGCCGCAAGCGACGAGCGCUGAUGCGUAUAAAACUUCGGAAACAAUCGCACUGUCCAAUAAUUGGGGAAACGAGUUUAGCACCAUUUUACCACAUUGGCAGCCUCUCAAAUGUUCCAGUGCUCCGGCAGAACUGGGAUCAAAAUGUUUCAAAUUUCAAUCUGACACUCACAAUCGCAGCGUGAUCUCGUCGUCAUCUCAUAAGAAAAUAAUAAUACCGCGUCGUUACGUACGCUGGAGGAAGUCGAAAUCAUGCUUCGCCAUCCCUAAAAUCACAACACCUGAUCACUCCAAAUUUGUAAAAACUCAUUCCCAUCCAAAUUUGGAGAAAAAACAUGAUUCCUUCGUCUCCGAUCAAUUCAUCAAUGACUCGCCUCCCUUGUGCCGAAAAAGUAAUUAUUCUUCGAGCACACUCAAACUCGCAACCAACUUGUUGGCUAAAAUGAGCGAAAUCAAUUUCCCACAUACUUUCAAACAGAGCAUGCAAGUCAGUCCCGCUCGUAAGGGCCUCGAGAAAAUACCACCGAGGCAAAAAUACACACCGUUGCCCAGUCCCUUACCUGCUCGUGCAAAAAUCCCUCGAAUAGCAAAUCGCGAUGUUUCAAAAAUUAGCUCAAAUAGCAGUCUCGUCGAGGGAAGUUUCGAGGAUUUUUCUCAGUCCUGCGUCAAGCUGAGAACUCUCAACAGAGGCGAAAAUGUGAGACCGAAGCGGUUCGAGGACAAACCUCGUCUUGCGGUAGUAGACGAGUCCAACGUAAAUGCGUUACCUGACUUGGCCUCGGUUCGGGCCCACAUUGUCAAAGCCGAAUGGUUCUGGACCUCUGUACAAAAUGAAGGGGCAGCGGAUGAGAAGGAAUAUCUUUUCGAAGAUUAUCUCGAAUCCGUUUUAUCGCCGACUGCAUCAGCCAGAAGAGAUAGUCAACAGGCAGCUACGCCAACCACAGCCUCGACGAGAAGAAAACGGAAGCGGCUCGCCGAAACAUUAUCUAGUCUCGUGCAGAACGGUGCUGAUUCGCCGGCCGUGCACAAGAGACGGUCGAGCAUCAGCGACGCCGGUCACCUCAGCGUCAGCGGUAGUUUUUUGGAUUGUACAACCAGUCCGGACAAAUUAUUAGACGAUAUUCCAGAGGUUGAAGCCGUAACGACAGAAACAUCGAGAAAAAAUUUAUCACCACGACAUCAAGUAUUCCUCGAAUUGGUCCAAACUGAGUCGAAUUACGUUGGUAUACUCAGUACAAUAAUGACGCUGUUCAAAUCACCAUUGGAGGAUCUCAUAGAGACGAGUGGCGAGUUACUGAACACUACUGAAGUGAAAAAAAUUUUUGGGGAUUUUCCCCCGAUAUACGAAGUUCACAAAAAAAUGUUGGAAGAAUUGCGCUACAGCGCGGCACACUGGGCCGAGGAUGUUAGCAUAGGAAAUAUAUUUCUCAAAUAUGCGCCGGAUCUUGUCAAAGCGUAUCCACCAUACGUUAAUUUUUUCGAAAAUAUAAAAGAAAUGUUGGAUCAGUGCGAUCAGAAUAAGCCGAGGUUUCACGCUUUUCUCAAAAUCUGCCAAACCAAACCCGAGUGCGGCAGACAAAGUCUGAAAGAGUUACUGAUCAAACCGGUGCAAAGGCUACCCAGUAUUAGUUUAUUAUUAAAUGAUAUUCUUAAGCAUACAAAUAAGAAUAAUCCAGACCAUAGCGCCUUGGAACUGUCGAUCAGCAGUAUUAAGGAAGUUAUGACAUACAUAAACGAGGAUAAAAGAAAAACGGAGGGUCAAGUUGUGAUAUUCGACAUAUUUAACGAGAUUGACAACUGUCCGCCUUACUUAGUAUCGUCGCAUCGUUCUUUCAUCGGCAAAUGCGAUGUUAUGGAACUUAGCGAGAGUUUGAGCGGCCGAGGCGAUCAUCUCGUUUUGUUCUUAUUUAACGACACCCUCGAAAUAUGCAAAAAACGAUCGAAAGCUUUUAACUCGUUAAAAAGUCCUAACACAGCGAAUGGUCUUCAUUCGGCGAAACUCAGUCAAGGCAAACCUUACAAACAUAUCGCGAUGCUUUCCCUGAGUACGAUUAAAAAAGUCGUCGACAUUCGAGAAACUGACGAAUGUCAAAAAGUAUUUGCCCUGAUGGUUCGAAGUAAUCAGGAAUUCAAAGAAAAACUCUUCUCAUUCACUAUCACUGACGAGGAAGUGAACAAGACGAAUUAUUUACGGACACUGUGCAGACAAAUGGCCAAUACCGUUUGUAAAACUGACGCAGACACAUUUUUAAUAAGUCUUGAUUCACAUCAACUUGAGAUUGAUACGAGUGACGUAGCGUUAGGUACAUUGAGUAAAGCAUUUAAGAGCCUAUUUCAUAAUUUUUACCUGGAGUAUAUGGACCCGUAUGUGUUCCUACUCAAUAGCAUGUGUGAAACCACGUUACAUGUCCCACUACCAUUUGCAUCACGAACGAGAAUGAAAGUCGGACGUGCGUUCAGUUUCAACAAAACGCCGAGUAAAUUGAAGAGAGCAAUGUCGACGAUGAUGUCACCGUUCGGCUCGACCAACAGUCUAACGCCAGCGAGUCAACAGUUAGCCCAGAUGCGAUUGGCCAGUUGCAACAAUAUUAACCUUGCGCAUCGUUAAGUAUGCAGAAAAGUUUGUUGCUUUCUCGAAGAAAAAACAAAACGCGAUCUAUUUGUUUCUUCCUACCCGUCUGGGGUACUCGUCAUCGAAACUUUUUGCAUGUAUUGAAUUAUUUGAAAUGAAUAAUGUUAAAAAAAAUACGAUAGACAAAACCGAGAAAAAACAAUCCAGAACGAAAAAAAACGUCGUGCGUAGUUCCACAACGAACGACUGCAAAAAAAUUGCAUUUAUUUUUCUUUUUUUUUGUCAUUUUUGACGGUGACGAUUGUUUGUGUGUUCAUGCCUAUCCGUUGAAACAAAACAAAAAAACAAAAACAUCACAGCAAAAGAAAGAACGAACGAAAAAAACGAAUGAAAAUGUGGAUCGAUAUUUCGCCACGUGUCACAUGAGCUGGGCAACGGUGGUUCAGGCUCGCCGUCACGUGACGAGGUUCUAGUAGCUCCGAUGUCGGUCCAACCGACGAGGAAGGCAAAGUGCAGUUCCCUCAGUAUGGCU